rnacentral:lncRNA from 1 species
CGACGACGACGACGACGACGACGACGACGACGACGACGACGACGACGACGACGACGACGACGACGACGACGACGACGACGACGACGACGACGACGACGACGACGACGACGACGACGACGACGACGACGACGACGACGACGACGACGACGACGACGACGACGACGACGACGACGACGACGACGACGACGACGACGACGACGACGACGACGACGACGACGACGACGACGACGACGACGACGACGACGACGACGACGACGACGACGACGACGACGACGACGACGACGACGACGACGACGACGACGACGACGACGACGACGACGACGACGACGACGACGACGACGACGACGACGACGACGACGACGACGACGACGACGACGACGACGACGACGACGACGACGACGACGACGACGACGACGACGACGACGACGACGACGACGACGACGACGACGACGACGACGACGACGACGACGACGACGACGACGACGACGACGACGACGACGACGACGACGACGACGACGACGACGACGACGACGACGACGACGACGACGACGACGACGACGACGACGACGACGACGACGACGACGACGACGACGACGACGACGACGACGACGACGACGACGACGACGACGACGACGACGACGACGACGACGACGACGACGACGACGACGACGACGACGACGACGACGACGACGACGACGACGACGACGACGACGACGACGACGACGACGACGACGACGACGACGACGACGACGACGACGACCACGACGACGACCACGACGACG